AGUGUGCUCUUCAGUUCGAGUUGGAUGUAAGGGUAUUUCGCACGGGGCACAUUCGCAAUGGCAGCCAGUUUAGGCUUUACCCUACUCGUCUUGUUCGCGGUACCACUGCUUGGCAAAUGCGAGCUGAGCCUGAAGCCCGGCUGCAAGGUGGAGACGCUGAGGGCUUGCGGUGACGACUUCAUACCCUAUAAAAAAGGCCCACACCUGCACGAGUCCGGGCAAGAGUUCGACGAAGGAUGCAAAAAGGACAAGACGCAGCUCCCUUGCACGCUGAAGUUUAUCAACGAUUGCACGGACGGGUUGUCGAAAGCCGCGGCACUGGUGGCAGUGAAGGCUCUGGAAGAGAACGUCGAGGCUGCCUGUAACGUAGGCUCGGAGCCGUACAACAAAUACCAGAAAGCAAUCAAGUGUAUGAAUUCUCAAGGGGAAAAACUCCACAAGUGCAUCAGUGACUUCAAAAGUAUUCUGGAACGCGCUGUGGUCAAGGCACCUACCAAGGACGUCAUUCAUCACACCUGCUGCUCCUAUUCGCAGACGGUGGAUUGCCUAUAUAACGCACUGGCGCCAUGCAAGAGCGUCGGCGCCCAGGAUUAUAUGGUCGGAAUCGUCGAGGAGAUGUUUGGCGAGACGCUGAACUUGGUCUGUGGUCGCUACAAGAAGGGCUCGACGGAAUGCAAGUCCCUGCCGCAGCUGCCGCGUCUCGGUGCCAAAGAUCGCAGACUGGACAACGUCGUCGAGAUCCUCUUGGAAGCCGCCGGCACACUGGGAAGGAAAAACUAGAGCCUCGUGUUUAUGUAAAUAGUUAUGUUUGAAUCACUGGAAAGGAUGGACACAAAUACAGCUAGUCGGCAAGGUUAGUUGCACUCGCGUGACGUCUCCGUUUGAGUGUUCACUUCGAGACAAGACAGGCAGGAUUAGGAAACAUCGCUGUGUGUUCUGUUCGACAUUCAUGCCCAACAUCUUGGCACGCAACACACAGAAUAGAAUGAACUUGUCCUAAAUGUCUUUGUUCACAUAAGAAGCCCGCGCGCAUUCGUCUAAGUACAUUACAAGGCGUGGUAAUCGGUGCCUACCAAAUUAAAUGAAAGUAAUCUGAAUGUAGACGUAAAAAAGUAAAAAUAUCUUGCUCAUUUCCAGGCACACAGAACUCGGCCACUUUUACGAGGCAGUUUCACACGCGCGUCCUGUAUUGGUUGCCAAAAAAAAACUUCACAAAAAUUGAUGCUUGAACAGUGCUAAGCGAAGAAAGGGUUUGCGCUUCCUGCGGGAGUGACCUUUGUUCACUGUAUUAUUUUUCUCUCGAGAAAAUAAAAGUCUAUGUUAUUUUGAAUU